ACUGGGCGUAAAGCGCACGCAGGCGGUCUGUCAAGUCGGAUGUGAAAUCCCCGGGCUCAACCUGGGAACUGCAUUCGAAACUGGCAGGCUUGAGUCUUGUAGAGGGGGGUAGAAUUCCAGGUGUAGCGGUGAAAUGCGUAGAGAUCUGGAGGAAUACCGGUGGCGAAGGCGGCCCCCUGGACAAAGACUGACGCUCAGGUGCGAAAGCGUGGGGAGCAAACAGGAUUAGAUACCCUGGUAGUCCACGCCGUAAACGAUGUCUACUUGGAGGUUGUGCCCUUGAGGCGUGGCUUCCGGAGCUAACGCGUUAAGUAGACCGCCUGGGGAGUACGGCCGCAAGGUUAAAACUCAAAUGAAUUGACGGGGGCCCGCACAAGCGGUGGAGCAUGUGGUUUAAUUCGAUGCAACGCGAAGAACCUUACCUGGUCUUGACAUCCACAGAACUUUCCAGAGAUGGAUUGGUGCCUUCGGGAACUGUGAGACA
rnacentral:rRNA from 1 species